CUCGCCGUGGCCUCACGUUGAGCCCGGCACCGGCACCACAGCACCCCGCCUCGGCCCGGGCUCUCGACGGCUGCAAGCCCUUCGCCCCCGGCACCUGUCCUCCGGCCUUCCCGAAGCUCACGACCCUACCGAUCCCAUGAUGAUCCGGGGAGUCCGCCCUGCAGUGAGUACUUCUACAAGUACGUUACGUGCGAGAUGUAUGAAGACGAUUAAUUGCCAUCAGUGGUUUACUCCGCCAUCUCCUUUCUACACGAUUCUUGGGAUGAUGGGGGAUUGUGUCCUAUGACUUAAAAGAAUGGCAAUCGCAUCAGUCUUUCACGGUUAGCAGCAUCACUCGAGGCCGCGAUUCUGCCUCUGAGGUCAACCCAGACCUGGGGCGGCCCUUGACCUCCAGCACCCAGUGGCCUAGCCCUCGAGCCCAGGCUGGACAAUCAGGUUGGGAGAGGUGAGUGAAAUGACAGGGGCCUGGAGGACGAACUCCCUUCUUCCAAACAAAACAAAAUGAUGUUAAUCUGAAAUAAAAAGCAGGUCCUGCAGGCUA